rnacentral:rRNA from 1 species
UUGAACGCUGGCGGCAGGCUUAACACAUGCAAGUCGAGCGGAAACGAUGUAGCUUGCUACAGGCGUCGAGCGGCGGACGGGUGAGUAACGCGUAGGAAUCUGCCUAGUAGUGGGGGACAACAUGUGGAAACGCAUGCUAAUACCGCAUACGCCCUACGGGGGAAAGGAGGGGAUCUUCGGACCUUUCGCUAUUAGAUGAGCCUGCGUAAGAUUAGCUAGUUGGUAGGGUAAAGGCCUACCAAGGCGACGAUCUUUAACUGGUCUGAGAGGAUGGCCAGUCACACUGGGACUGAGGCACGGCCCAGACUCCUACGGGAGGCAGCAGUGGGGAAUAUUGGACAAUGGGCGCAAGCCUGAUCCAGCCAUGCCGCGUGUGUGAAGAAGGCCUUAGGGUUGUAAAGCACUUUCAGGGGUGAGGAAGGGUGUUUGGUUAAUAUCCAAACAUUUUGACGUUAGCCCCAGAAGAAGCACCGGCUAACUCUGUG